rnacentral:rRNA from 1 species
UGAUAGUGCAAUGGCAAAGGUAGCUUAACUGCGAGACCGACAAGUCGAGCGAGGUGCGAAAGCAGGACAUAGUGAUCCGGUGGUUCUGAAUGGAAGGGCCAUCGCUCAAACGGAUAAAAGGUACUCCGGGGAUAACAGGCUGAUUCCGCCCAAGAGUUCAUAUCGACGGCGGAGUUUUGGCACCUCGAUGUCGGCUCAUCACAUCCUGGGGCUGUAGUCGGUCCCAAGGGUAUGGCUGUUCGCCAUUUAAAGUGGUACGUGAGCUGGGUUUAAAACGUCGUGAGACAGUUUGGUCCCUAUCUGCAGUGGGCGUUGGAAGUUUGACGGGGGCUGCUCCUAGUACGAGAGGACCGGAGUGGACGAACCUCUGGUGUACCGGUUGUCACGCCAGUGGCAUAGCCGGGUAGCUAAGUUCGGAAGAGAUAAGCGCUGAAAGCAUCUAAGCGCGAAACUCGCCUGAAGAUGAGACUUCCCUGGUGGUUAAACCACCCUAAAGAGUCGUUCGAGACCAGGAC